ACGCACGCUGGCGGCGUGCUUAACCCAUGCAAGUCGAGCGGAAAGGCCCUUUCGGGGGUACUCGAGCGGCGAACGGGUGAGUAACACGUGAGUAAUCUGCCCUUCACUUGGGGAUAACCUCCGGAAACGGUGGCUAAUACCCGAUACGACCAUUCCUCGCAUGAGGUGGUGGUGGAAAGUUUUUCGGUGGGGGAUGUGCUCGCGGCCUAUCAGCUUGUUGGUGGGGUAAUGGCCUACCAAGGCUUCGACGGGUAGCCGGCCUGAGAGGGUGACCGGCCACACUGGGACUGAGACACGGCCCAGACUCCUACGGGAGGCAGCAGUGGGGAAUAUUGGACAAUGGGCGGAAGCCUGAUCCAGCAACGCCGCGUGAGGGAUGACGGCCUUCGGGUUGUAAACCUCUUUCACCUGUGACGAAGCGAAAGUGACGGUAGCAGGAGAAGAAGCACCGGCCAACUACGUG
rnacentral:rRNA from 1 species